UACGUAGGGUGCAAGCGUUAAUCGGAAUUACUGGGCGUAAAGCGUGCGCAGGCGGUGAUGUAAGACAGAUGUGAAAUCCCCGGGCUCAACCUGGGAACUGCAUUGGAUACUGCCUUGCUUGAGUACUGGAGAGGGAACUGGAAUUUACGGUGUAGCAGUGAAAUGCGUAGAGAUCGUAAGGAAGGCCAGUGGCGAAGGCGAGUUCCUGGACAGUUACUGACGCUGAGGCACGAAGGCCAGGGGAGCAAACGGG
rnacentral:rRNA from 1 species